CUCGGGUGGCUGCAGUGGGGAAUAUUGGACAAUGGGCGAAAGCCUGAUCCAGCCAUGCCGCGUGUGUGAAGAAGGCCUUCGGGUUGUAAAGCACUUUCAGUGGGGAAGAAAGCCUUGGGGCUAAUACCCUCGAGGAAGGACAUCACCCACAGAAGAAGCACCGGCUAACUCCGUGCCAGCAGCCGCGGUAAUACGGAGGGUGCGAGCGUUAAUCGGAAUUACUGGGCGUAAAGCGCGCGUAGGCGGUCUGAUAAGCCGGUUGUGAAAGCCCCGGGCUCAACCUGGGAACGGCAUCCGGAACUGUCAGGCUAGAGUGCAGGAGAGGAAGGUAGAAUUCCCGGUGUAGCGGUGAAAUGCGUAGAGAUCGGGAGGAAUACCAGUGGCGAAGGCGGCCUUCUGGACUGACACUGACGCUGAGGUGCGAAAGCGUGGGUAGCAAACAGGAUUAGAUACCCUAGUAGU
rnacentral:rRNA from 1 species